rnacentral:lncRNA from 1 species
AUGCAAAUCAGCGCAGCUCCCUGCACACCACUGCUCUACUUCAGGGCUGACCCCGCCCAUUCCCUACUCCUGCAGCCCCCUCCGCCCAUCCUGGUCCCUCACAGUGGCCCCUGCGCCCUGGCCUGGGCGCUCCCAUCUCAUCCCGCAUCUCAGGGCCGCCCAGGCCGCCGCCCUCCCCUCCCUCCCUCUUUCCUGGCCGAAGCCGCCCUCCCUGCUGCGUGCAGCCUCUCCCAGGGACUGCGCCCCUCCUGUAGGAUGUGGGGACAGGAACUGAUUCCCACAGGGGACGCAGGAUCUGGAGAAAGAAGGCUUCUGUGCCUGGGGACGUGUGGCAGGAAAGAUGGGAUGGGUAGGGGCACCGAGUGCAGAGACUGGGACUGGACCAGAACUUGGACGGACAGGAGCCACCAGGGCGGUGCUGCUGCAGGGAAGACGGGGCAAGCGAAGCGGCCAGAGCAGCCCAGGGAGCAGGACCGCCUGCACAGUCAGCUUCCCAGCUGCAGGCGCCGCCGGGCUGCACCGCGUCUCUCCGCGCCCGCUCUGAACGCAGAGCCCAGAAAGCUAUAUACACUUCUCCCUGCCGACUCCACAGGCACUGGGCACCCUGGCUUGUCUAUGAGACUUCAGCUCAGACAGUGCUUCCUUCGGGAAACUCUUCUGAACCUCUCCAGGUAGUAUGUGGUGCUUUUCCUUUAAAAAAAUGAAAAAUUCUGUGCCUGAUCUGUCUGGGCUUCAAACACCAUGACCUUGGGAUUGUUGCUGGAAUCCAGCCUUAGCAUUGA